GCCUGGCUGGCUCAGUUGGUAGAGCAUGUGACUCUUGAUCUCAGGGUCAUGAGUUCAAACCCCACAUUGGGUG
rnacentral:tRNA from 1 species